rnacentral:lncRNA from 1 species
GGGGAGGGUUUCAUGGGAUUACCUCACUAUAUCACUAUUGGGUUAACUAGCUGACUCUCCCUCUGAAGGUCUCUCCUUGGUUCUUCUUUGACUUUGGUAGUUAACUCAACCAUCACCCAUUUACAGUGUGGACUCCCCAGUCCAGCAGAGAGCAGCUUCACUCCUGAAUCAUGCAGGUCAUUGUCACUCAGUCCCAGCUCUCUCUGUGAGGAGCUUGGGCUGAGAGUGGAGGUCAAAGACAUCCAGCUCCUCCUCUGAAGUCAGCAACACAAAGACCAGAUCUGACCACUGAAGGUGAGUGUUUGGCUUCUGAGAGAUUUCCUGAGCUGAGGUAGCUUUGGAUCUCCUCAACUAGAGAUUGGUCAUUCAGCCCAUUCAGACAAUGAAACAGAUUGAUGCACCUCUCCGGAGAAGGAUUCUUGCUGAUUUUCUCCUUGAUGAACUGUUUCCUCAUUAGUCUGUGAGCGGCUUAUUAUUUUUGUCAGAAGGCCUUGAAG